AAUUUAAAUUACAUAUUAAAAUAUAUUAUAAAAACUGACAUCUAAAUAACUUAUAUAUAGAUAAGAAGCUAUUAUAAAUUAAACUAUGUUUGAUAUAAGAUGUUUGGCCAAAAUUAGUGCCAGCAGCUGCGGUUAUUCUAAUAAAUAUAAUUAAAAAGAAAAUAUUUAUAUUAAUUAAAAAUAAUUAUUAGGUCGAAUUUGAUUAUUUAUUAAUAAAAGCAGAUUAGAUACCUGUGUAUAUAAUUAAACAUAUAAAGGAGUAAUUAAAAAUAAUUUUAUUAGACGGAUAAGAAUUUAAUAGGGAACCUUGUAGCUUAAUAAGAUAAUACUCUGUUUAUAUAUAGUUAAAUAGGGUUGCAUAUGUUCGUAUAUUAUAAUUAUAAUAAUUAUGAUAAAUAUAUUAUUUUAAUAAAUACUUCAGAUCAACAUACACUUUUUUAACUACGUUUAUUAGGUUUAAUUUUGUUAAUAAAGUUUAAUUAAGAUUUAAUUUAAGUAAACUUAUAAGUAAUUAAUAAAUAAUUAAGUUUUAAUGAAGAUAUAUUAUAGUACUCACCGCCCGCUAAGUUUUAUAAAAAUUAAGGCGUAACAAGGUAGUUUAAUUAGAAAAUUAAACUGGAA
rnacentral:rRNA from 1 species